rnacentral:snRNA from 1 species
CUAACAACACAGUGAGGAUUAGCACGGCCCCCACGCAAGGAGGACACGCACAUCCGUGAAGCAUUUUUUUUUUUU